rnacentral:rRNA from 1 species
UCAAGCUAAUAAGAGCACAGGGUGGAUGCCCAGGCACCAAACGCCGACGAAAGACGUGGCAAGCUGCGAAAAGUCACGGGGAACCGCAAGCAGGUAUUGAUCCGUGAACGUCUGAAUGGGGAAACCCGGCGGGUUAACAGCCCGUCACUAUUAACUGAAUCAAUAGGUUAAUAGGGGGAACGCGGGGAACUGAAACAUCUCAGUACCCGUAGGAAGAGAAAAUAAAGAAUGAUUUCCUAAGUAGCGGCGAGCGAACGGGAAAGAGGCCAAACCGAAGGGCUUGCUCUUCGGGGUUGUGGAUCAGCAAAAAGGACGGAAGACCUUAGCAGAAGAGGAUUGGAAAGUCCCGCCAGAGAGGGUAAAAGCCCCUUACGCGAAAAGGUCAAACGACGAGCUGACACCAGAGUACCGCAGGACACGAGAAAUCCGGUGGGAAGCCGGGAGGACCACCUCCCAAGCCUAAAUACGAAUUGGUGACCGAUAGCGCAUAGUACCGUGAGGGAAAGGUGAAAAGAACCCCGGGAGGGGAGUGAAAAAGAACCUGAAACCCUGUGUUUACAAGCAGUGAAAGUGCGAGCAAGGCACGAUCACGUACUUUUUGUAGAACGGACCGGCGAGUUACGUUAUGCAGCAAGGUUAAGAACUGAAGGUUCGGAGCCGAAGCGAAAGCGAGUCUGAAUAGGGCGAUAGUUGCAUGACGUAGACCCGAAACCGGGUGACCUAUCCAUGAGCAGGUUGAAGUGGAGGUAAAGCUCCAUGGAGGACCGAACCAGACGUCUGUUGAAAAAGGCGGGGAUGACUUGUGGAUAGGGGAGAAAUUCCAAUCGAACCCGGAGAUAGCUGGUUCUCCUCGAAAUAGCUUUAGGGCUAGCCUCAUACGAGUCUUGCGGAGGUAGAGCACUGAAUUCUUAAGGGGGCGUCAAAGCUUACUAAGAGAUAUCAAACUCCGAAUGCCGCGUAGAUGAUGUAUGGGAGUCAGACUGCACGAGAUAAGUUGGGUAGUCAAAAGGGAAAGAGCCCAGACCUGCAGCUAAGGUCCCAAAGUGCGUGUUAAGUGGAAAAGGAUGUGGGAUUUCGAAGACAACCAGGAUGUUGGCUCAGAAGCAGCCACACAUUCAAAGAGUGCGUAAUAGCUCACUGGUCGAGAGGUCCUGCGCCGAAAAUGUCCGGGGCUGAAACACGACACCGAAGCUUAGGAACAAAGAAACCAAGGUUUCUAUAUGUUGGUAGAGGAGCAUUGUUAGCGGAACGAAGCCAUACCGGAAGGAGUGGUGGACUGCUAAGAAGAGAGAAUGCCGGAAUGAGUAGCGAGAAUGAAGUGAGAAUCUUCAUGGCCGAAUAUCCAAGGUUUCCAGGGUAAAGCUGAUCUGCCCUGGGUUAGUCGGGGCCUAAGGCGAGGCUGAGAAGCGUAGCUGAUGGACAACAGGUUGAAAUUCCUGUACUGCCUUAUAACAGAACUGUGGGGACACAUGUUCAGGUCGCGAGCCGGGAAAGGAAAGCCCGGUGCAAGCAGAGGUUAUCGGUGGGAGGCAAACCCCCCACAAAAGAGAAGACUGCGAUGCGGAGCGAAGAAAAGUAGCGAAGAGCGAUGAGAAUGUGUCGAGAAAAGCCGCUAUUGUUUAUAAGGUACCCGUACCGUAAACCGACACAGGUGGAUGAGGAGAGAAUCCUAAGGCCGGCGGGAGAAGCAUUGUUAAGGAACUCGGCAAAAUGACCCCGUAACUUCGGGAGAAGGGGUGCCUCGAAAGAGGCCGCAGAGAAUAGUCACAAGCGACUGUUUAGCAAAAACACAGGUAUCUGCGAAAGCGAGAGCUGACGUAUAGGUGCUGACACCUGCCCGGUGCUGGAAGGUUAAGGGAACAUGUUAGAGCAAUCGAAGCAUCGAACCGAAGCCCCAGUAAACGGCGGCCGUAACUAUAACGGUCCUAAGGUAGCGAAAUUCCUUGUCGGGUAAGUUCCGACCCGCACGAAUGGUGUAACGACUUGUGAGCUGUCUCAACAGGGGGCCCGGUGAAAUUGAAGUAUGGGUGAAGAUGCCCAUUACCCGCGACUGGACGGAAAGACCCCGUAGAGCUUUACUGCAGCCUGAUAUUGAGUUUCGGUAACUGAUGCACAGGAUAGGUGGGAGUCUGAGAGACAUGGGUUUCGGCUCAUGUGGAGACGGUGUUGGGAUACCACUCUUCGGUUACUGAAAUUCUAACAUAGCUCUGUGAAACCAGAGGAUGGACAGUGUCAGGUGGACAGUUUGACUGGGGCGGUCGCCUCCGAAAGAGUAACGGAGGCGCCCAAAGGUACCCUCAGAAUGGAUGGAAACCAUUCGAAGAGAGCAAAGUCAGAAGGGUGCUUGACUGCGAGACCAACAAGUCGAGCAGGUACGAAAGUAGGGCUUAGUGAUCCGGCGGUAAGAGAGUGGAAUUGCCGUCGCUCAACGGAUAAAAGCUACCUCGGGGAUAACAGGCUGAUCUCCCCCAAGAGUCCACAUCGACGGGGAGGUUUGGCAC